rnacentral:rRNA from 1 species
CCUACGGGAGGCAGCAGUGGGGAAUAUUGCACAAUGGGGGAAACUCUGAUGCAGCGACGCCGCGUGAGUGAAGAAGUAAUUCGUUAUGUAAAGCUCUAUCAGCAGGGAAGAAAAUUACGGUACCUGAGUAAGAAGCCCCGGCUACCUCGGGCCCAGCAGCCGCGGUCAUACGUAGGGGGCAAGCGUUAUCCGGAUUUACUGGGUGUAAAGGGAGCGUAGACGGCAGUGCAAGUCUGGAGUGAAAGGCGGGGGCUCAACCCCCGGACUGCUCUGGAAACUGUAAGGCUGGAGUGCAGGAGAGGUAAGUGGAAUUCCUAGUGUAGCGGUGAAAUGCGUAGAUAUUAGGAGGAACACCAGUGGCGAAGGCGGGUUACUGGACUGUAACUGACGUUGAGGCUCGAAAGCGUGGGGAGCAAACAGGAUUAGAUACCCCUGUAGUC